CUGCCGCCGAAAAGACUCGAGUUCAGCCGAAUUUCCUCGCCGUGAUAGCGACAACAAAAAAAUUCGUGGUGAUCGUGUAAAAAGUUUUCGGCGUUACGUAUUUUUCGCAUUCUCUCUCCAGAAGGGUGCUGGUCUCAGUCACAUUGCCGCCUCGUCCAGGAUUCGGCGGACCAUCAACAUCACAAAACUGCGUAGUCAGGCAGGAGUUAUAGGGCAAUCUCAGCAUUCACAAUGGCGGGAGAGCAGCAGCAGUUUUUUCUUAAAUGGAAUGAUUUCCAAUCGAACAUGGUGUCAUCGUUCAAGCAUCUGCGAGAUGAGAAAAGCUUCACGGAUGUGACGUUGGCUUGUGAUGGUCAAACUUGCAAAGCACAUAAAAUGGUCUUAUCUGCCUGUAGUCCUUAUUUUAAAUCCUUGUUAGAGGAAAAUCCGUCCAAACAUCCAAUUAUAAUUCUAAAGGAUGUUGCGUACAGCCAUCUGCAAGCCAUUCUAGAAUUCAUGUAUGCAGGUGAAGUAAAUGUUUCACAAGACCAGCUACCAGCAUUUCUCAAAACGGCAGACCGGCUUAAAGUUAAAGGACUAGCUGAAGCUCCCGGUGCCAUUAAGAGAGAAGGUUAAAGAUGCGCACAUCAUUAUGAGGAGCCAUAGGAAUGUUGCAGCAUUUGUUUCAUAGUAUUAUUUUGGUGUUACAUCGAUUUAUAAAUUCUACAUGAGAUUAUUCGACUUGUUAAUUGAACAAAUUUAUUAUCUGUCUUUGAAAAGCAUGUGGACUGAAAAAAAAAACAAUGUAAUAAUGUAAAGUGAUUGCAAAACACAUACACAUAACACUGACAUACACAUUACAUCUAUAGAUAUAUAGUAAAAAAAAAAAAAGAACACACUUUGUGUGCACGACCCAAUACCCUCCGGUUCAUGACUUGGAUCAACACGUGAUGACAAUGUAAAAUAAUGCCUUUUUCUUAAUCUCAGUUAAUGUUAACGGUUGUACUGACAGUGUGUAUGCAUAUAUACAAGUAGAGAUGAGAUGUUGAUGUUUGUCUUGAACCCAUUACGCCACAUUGCGACGACAACAAUAACAACAACAUUGAUUAUUUUUUUAAAUCGAAACGCCACGAGGCGCGAAUAAGUGGGUCGCGGUAGUUUAUAAUACAUACUGACCGGGGUAGUCUUGGUGGAUCAAGUUGGAAUUGUUGAGGACACCUGUUAUAACGCCCGUUUUUUUCAAGCCGAUCUACCUGACUCACUCAGCACUCUCAUGUCGAUUCCAUUUGGUAGAUCUAUUCACGAAGUAGCGUUGUCUCGUUUGCCUUUUUCAAUCAUUCUCUAUCAUCAAACUGAUCCCGAGGUCCAGUCUGUCGAAAUGUGAAAGUUUUGUGUCUUUUUUAUAAAUAUCUACAUAUAUCGCUUUCAUAGGUCGUUUUCAUGGAACAUCUGUUUAAUCAUGGUUUCAUCAUUAUAAAGUUACGUUAGAGAAUCGAAUCACACAGGGCAUUAAUAUCCUAUAAUCUCGCACCAGAUUACGUGUAAAUGUUAGUUGAAUAACGAUAAACGAAAGUAUUUUAUUGGCAUCUAAUCGGGAAGUUCUGCUUCUGUCGUGGAUAGAUUUGCGAAACCCCCGGCAAAUCAUUUAAAGAAUGUCAAAUCAAGUUUACUGGAAGUAGUAACGUACGUUUGAUAAUGUACAUUCGGUUCUCUUUUGUCCACAUUGCGAAGUGUUAAUAUUUGUAUUAACAUUAAAAUGUUAAUAUUUUGGAUGUCGGUCCACUGUAUAAUGUAAGCAGAAAAGAAAAUAAGAAAUAUUGGAAUUGUUCUAUUGCAAUCAGUCCCGUACAAGUUACCUCUUCUAGUGAUCAUGAUUUUUUACUUAACCAAAUACUGCCAGUAUUUGUACCGGCGUAUUCACAAUAUUACCGAUAGACCAAAUUUAUUUAUGAUAAUAAUAUAUUAAGGGUUGAAUGUCUUAAAUCGAGGGAAGGUUAUUGUAAUAUAAGCAAAGCAAAUUUUUGUAAAGUUGGAGCGCACAGUUCCUUUUCCCUCCUGAACAGAACGCUCGGAAAAGUUUAGAAAAGAAGUCAGGAAACAUUAUCGAGUCAAGGACACAAAAAUUGAUUUGUUUUAUUAUAUAUUGUGUUUUCUUUAUCAACGUGCAAUCAAAUAUCAAUCCUUCGCGAACAGGUCAAUUUGGAGGAUAGAGAAUUUCAGUCCUGAAAUAAAUUGAAAUAAAAUUAAAUUUUCAAAUAUACGCGGUUAAAUUUGAUGCAAUAAAUAAGCGCACUAUAAACAUUAUAAAAUUUAUAGUGCAGGUAUCGAAUGUGUUGGCAAUAUCUCGAUGCCUUCGCGAAGGGUUAAUAUUAUUCGAAUUUUUUUAUUUAUUCAACAACUUGGCAAUGAUUGUAAAAAUUUAAAUUUUCUUUGUUAUUUAAAUAAGUCCCUGCUCAUAAUUCCUGACUGCUGUUACUGUUUCUUGUAAUAACAUAUCGAGGAUUUCAAGCGUUUCGUGAGUUUUCCUUGCAAGUUAAUUAUCCUUGUGCCUAAUGUGAGUUUAUUCCAACAUGUUUACAACCUUUACUUGGAUUGUAUGCCGAAUUAGCACGAGUAAACUCCUACGAACAUUGAAUAUCGAUUUAGGAUCGCACACAUUCACGCAUCGAACGUCAGUUAUAUUUUGCAAAAUUUUAUUGUAGCGCAUUAUUUUCUAUCGAUUUUGCUUCGGAUGUUUCUGUGAAUAGAAUAUAUAUGAAAUGGACCUGAUAGAUCUUUACGGUUUCUAAGAAUGGUUCACCAAAGAGAACUCACUGUUCGUAAGAAUGUUUCGAGAAUGUUUCGAGAACUCUACAUGAGAAAUCGCGAAUCGUGUUAUGGAACUUUGUUAUGGAAUCAAGGUAAGCAAGUUGUCCAUAAAGAUUUUUGCGUUAACAAGGAUAAGUUCUGAUAAUUAAUGGGACCAUUCACAUUAAAGCGGCAUUAAAGCGAUGUAAGAGUAGAUUGCGAACAUUUUACGUCUUCUCAGAAUAACAAUUCAGUUAUUUGAGUGUUUCAUAUAUCUAGCUUCAUCAUCUUUUGCAGUCAUCCGAUAGCAAUAUCGAGUAAAUAAAGAUUCGACGUUCAUUCUCAGUAUUUAACGCAGUGUUAAACGCGUGUCAAAAUAAAUGGGUUCAGUUCCUACAGUUAAUACAUUUGCCGGGCAUUUGGUGGUUGAAUGUGAAUAGUUGUACCAUGUACAUUUGCUAUGCUGUAAAAAUUUGGAGUACAAUUAUUGUAGAAUAGAAAAAUCUCACAUAGGAGUGACUGUUCGCGCUAAGUUCACGAUUAUGUCAUAUGACCUUUUCUCGCUACAUUUCUCGCUUUAUCACUUCCAUGUUUAUUUUUCGCAUUCGAGACUCUAGAUCGAUUCCAGAUCGAUUGGCUUGCAAAAGUUAUCGGAGCGAAUCUCCCCCUCUCCACCCUCUCUACAUUUCGUUAUUUCGUUUCGCUAUCCGUUCUGAAAUUCGAAAUCCUUAUUGAAAUAAUAAUUAUCGUUACUUUUACGAUUAUACGACUCGAUGAUGAUUAUGAUAUGAUGAUGUUGAGAUAUAAAAUAAAUUGUGUAAAUAUAC
rnacentral:misc_RNA from 1 species